rnacentral:rRNA from 2 species
UAACAAUGAUUCCCCUAGUAACGGCGAGUGAACAGGGAAAAGCUCACAGUUGGAACCUAGCUGCCUUAGGUAGUUCGGAUUGUAAACUGAAAAAGUGUUAUCCAGGCUAGCCGAGUAAAUAAGUUUCUUGGAACAGAACAUCAUGGAGGGUGAGAAUCCCGUCUUUGGCUUGAGCAUAGUCUUUUGUGUUGCACUUUAACGAGUCAGGUUGUUUGGGAAUGCAGCCUAAAGUGGGAGGUAAAUCCCUCCUAAAGCUAAAUAUUGGCGAGAGACCGAUAGCAAACAAGUACCGUGAGGGAAAGAUGAAAAGAACUUUGAAAAGAGAGUUAAACAGUAUGUGAAAUUGCUAAAAGGGAAGCGUUUGAAGACAGACUAGCUUGGUUAUAAUCAGCCUGGAUUUUUCUUGGUGUACUUGUAGCCUAUGCUUGUCAACAGCAGUUUGGUUUGGCUGAAAAAACUGAUAGUAAGGUGGCUCUCUUCGGGGAGUGUUAUAGACUGUUAGAAAAUCAGUUGGACUGGACUGAGGAAUGCAAUGCAGCUUGCCUUGGGGUGAACCAGAUUGGAUAGGAACCAUUGUUCUUUGAAGGUUUGGGUAGCUCUUCGAACUGUAUUUAGGUUGUUGGCUUAAUGUCUUUAAACGA